AAGAAAGUAAGAAAGGGCGUAUGGCGGAUGCCUAGGCUCACGGAGGCGAUGAAGGACGUGAUAAGCUGCGAUAAGCUUCGGGUAGGUGCAAAUAACCUUUGAUCCGAAGAUUUCCGAAUGGGACAACCUAGCCGUCUGAAGGACGGUUACUCUUACCAAUGUAAGAGAGCUAACGCAGGGAACUGAAACAUCUUAGUACCUGCAGGAAGAGAAAAUAAAUGAAUGAUUCCCCCAGUAGUGGCGAGCGAACGGGGAACAGCCCAAACCGUUGACGUCGCAAGGCGCCAGCGGGGUUGUAGGACCGCGACAUUGUACUGAAAUGGUGAGUGGAAGUAUCUGGAAAGUUACAUCACAGAAGGUGAUAAUCCUGUACACGAAGCCAGAUCAGGCAUAGCGGUAUCCUGAGUAACGCGGGACACGAGGAAUCCUGCGCGAAUCUGCCGGGACCAUCCGGUAAGGCUAAAUACUCCCGUGAGACCGAUAGCGAACGAGUACUGUGAAGGAAAGGUGAAAAGAACCCCGAGCAGGGGAGUGAAAUAGUUCCUGAAACCAUACGCCUACAAGCGGUCGGAGCAUCGUAAGAUGUGACGGCGUGCCUUUUGCAUAAUGAUCCUACGAGUUACCGUCACUGGCGAGGUUGAGUGUCAUGAGACACGUAGCCGCAGUGAAAGCGAGCCUGAAGAGGGCGCACAGUCAGUGGGGGUAGACGCGAAACCAAGUGAUCUACACUUGGCCAGGAUGAAGUCCCGGUAACACGGGAUGGAGGUCCGCACCAAUAAGCGUUGAAAAGCUUCUGGAUGAGCCGAGUGUAGGAGUGAAAGGCCAAUCAAACUUGGAGAUAGCUCGUACUCCCCGAAAGGCAUUUAGGUGCCGCGUCGGAUGGUCACCGUGAGAGGUAGAGCGACCGAUAGGACAAGAGGGCUUCACCGCCUAUCGAGUCCUGACGAACUCCGAAUGCUCACGGUCUGCAGUCCGGCAGUAAGGGGGCGGGUGCUAAGGUCCGUCCCCGAGAGGAGAAGAAUCCAGACCGCCGUCUAAGGUCCCGGAGUUCUGCCUGAGUUAGUCUAACGAAGUCUGGUCCCUAUGACAGCUAGGAUGUUGGCUUGGAAGCAGCCAUUCAUUCAAAGAGUGCGUAACAGCUCACUAGUCGAGGGUCCGGGCAUGGAUAAUAAUCGGGUAUAAGGCAGACACCGAAGGCGCGGGAUAGCAAUUAUAAAAGUAUCGGUAGGGGAGCAUACUCACAGCGUCGAAUGGUGUACGUAAGUUAUCCUGGAGCGGUGAGUAAAGCAAAUGUAGGAAUAAGUAACGAUAAGGAGGGUUAGAUUCCCUCCCGCUGUAAGACCAAGGUUUCCCGGGCAAUGCCAAUCAGCCCGGGGUCAGUCGGGUCCUAAGUCUAAGCCGAACGGCGAUGGCGAUGGCAGAGACGGUUAAUAUUCCGUCACUGCCGCAUGGGGCGACGUGGAGACGGAGCAGUGAAACCACCGCGGGGCGACGGAAGUCCCCGUUGAAG
rnacentral:rRNA from 1 species